CCUACGGGGGGCUGCAGUGGGGAAUAUUGCGCAAUGGGGGAAACCCUGACGCAGCAACGCCGCGUGAGCGAUGAAGGUCUUCGGAUUGUAAAGCUCUGUCUUUUGGGACGAUAAUGACGGUACCAAAGGAGGAAGCCACGGCUAACUACGUGCCAGCAGCCGCGGUAAUACGUAGGUGGCAAGCGUUGUCCGGAUUUACUGGGCGUAAAGAGUAUGUAGGCGGAUAUUUAAGUCAGAUGUGAAAUCCCCAGGCUUAACCUGGGAGCUGCAUUUGAUACUGGGUGUCUAGAGUGCAGGAGAGGAAAGUGGAAUUCCUAGUGUAGCGGUGAAAUGCGUAGAGAUUAGGAAGAACACCAGUGGCGAAGGCGACUUUCUGGACUGUAACUGACGCUGAGAUACGAAAGCGUGGGGAGCAAACAGGAUUAGAUACCCCGGUAGUC
rnacentral:rRNA from 1 species